rnacentral:rRNA from 1 species
CACGGGUGAGUAACACGUAUCCAACCUGCCGUCUACUCUUGGACAGCCUUCUGAAAGGAAGAUUAAUACAAGAUGGCAUCAUGAGUCCGCAUGUUCACAUGAUUAAAGGUAUUCCGGUAGACGAUGGGGAUGCGUUCCAUUAGAUAGUAGGCGGGGUAACGGCCCACCUAGUCUUCGAUGGAUAGGGGUUCUGAGAGGAAGGUCCCCCACAUUGGAACUGAGGCACGGCCCAA